CCUACGGGGGGCAGCAGUGAGGAAUAUUGGUCAAUGGACGAGAGUCUGAACCAGCCAAGUAGCGUGAAGGAUGACUGCCCUAUGGGUUGUAAACUUCUUUUAUAUGGGAAUAAAAUGUUCCACGUGUGGGAUUUUGUAUGUACCAUAUGAAUAAGGAUCGGCUAACUCCGUGCCAGCAGCCGCGGUAAUACGGAGGAUCCGAGCGUUAUCCGGAUUUAUUGGGUUUAAAGGGAGCGUAGGUGGAUUGUUAAGUCAGUUGUGAAAGUUUGCGGCUCAAUCGUAAAAUUGCAGUUGAAACUGGCAGUCUUGAGUACAGUAGAGGUGGGCGGAAUUCGUGGUGUAGCGGUGAAAUGCUUAGAUAUCACGAAGAACUCCGAUUGCGAAGGCAGUUCACUGGACUGCAACUGACACUGAGGCUCGAAAGUGUGGGUAUCAAACAGGAUUAGAUACCCGAGUAGUC
rnacentral:rRNA from 1 species